GUGGGGGGACUCUCCAGGGACACCAUGCGUCACAGAGCAGCGAAGAGGGGGGUGGUGAAGGCAGGCAUGGGCAGGUAGGAGAAUGUCACCCUGUCACUGACAUCAUAGGGCAGAAGUGGGGAAUCAAAAGAACAGAGGUCAAGGCAUGGUAAGGGUCAGGUGACUGCCACGCCCUCCUCCCCUCGGGGCUCCGGGGGAUCGGUGAGUUCCUUAAGUGGAUUUGCAAUGAGUUUCUGAAGAAAAGGUCAACUUCGAGGAUUUGCGUUACUCCUGAAAGGGCAGGGCUGCAGACACUCAGGAGCUGGGGACCGAACCCAGGGCUUUGCGCUUGCUAGGCAAGUGUUCUACCACUGAGCUAAAUCCCCAACCCCCAGUAAGCACUCUUGACUAAUGACUUCUGUUUUCUCUUCUAUGAGGACACUAGUCACAUUGUGUUAGGACCCUGCACAUGAACCCAUUUUACCUUUGUUACUUCCUUAAAGGCCCGGCCCUCAAAGACAGUCGCAUUUAGAGUUAGGACUUCAACAUGUAAAGGUGAGAAGGAGGGCCACACAGUCUAGCUUGUAAUAGGCAGGGUAUUUUCAUUUCGUGUUUGUUUAAUGGCAAAAAGAAUUGUAGAACAUUAAAAGACAGAAACAGGUGAGCAGGAACCAGGUAGAGAUGAUCAUUUCUGUCUAAUUUCGGUAUAUCUUCAAGAUGAGUUUUUGUGCUUUGAAGUACUGUGGGCCUGUGGCCUGACAUUUUCACAGAGCGAAUACAUCAGGAACGUUUCUCCAUGCCAUUAAGCAUUCUUCUACAACACCAUUUUCAGUGGCUGCACAGUAGCCCAUUAUGAGGAUGAAUUUAACCGAUGGAUGGUGGGCUCUUUUGCUUUAUUUUUUUUUAGACGAUGGGAUUUUGAUUGGCUAAGAUGGGAAGGAUGGUUAGCAAUGUGUGACAGGGAAGGAUAUAACUCCGUGGGAUCACAUGCUGUCUUAGUUACUUUUCUGUCCCUGUGACAAAACGCCACAACCAAGACAACUUACUGGCAGCAGGUAGCCAUGGCACGAGAGCAGUAGCUAAGAGUUUAUAUGUUGAAUUGUCAACUGUAAAGAAGAGAGAGAGAGACAGAGACAGACAGAGAGAGAGAGAGAGAGAGAGAGAGAGAGAGAGAGAGGGAGGGAAGAAGGAGAGAGAGGGUAAGCUAACUGGGAAGCCCACUCCCAGUGACACGCCUCCUCCACCGAGACCACGCCUCCUAAUCCUUCCUAAACAGUUCUACCAGCUGUGGACCAGACAUUCAAGCAUAUGAUCCAGUGGAGGCCAUUCUCAGUCAAACCACCACACAUGCCAGUACACUGAAACCAGUCAACUGAGUUCUCAGAACCAGGCAGACCAUGUGUAUAAGUACACAUGGUCUUAUACACAUGGAGAGUUAGGGGAGGGUAAAGGGAAGUAGACUGUGGCAGCUGCUGCUUCUGAGAAGACCUGAGAAGUCCUAAGAAUGAGCUGGCUUCAUACUUUAUGUCUGACUAACCAGAAUCUCAACUAGAUCUUGCAAAGCUGCUGACAUCCCAAACGUGACUCUGGGUGAAGCUGGACUUGAUGAAUACAUCAUAGCCUUCCCAUCCCCUACCUCCACCACUGCUGUGUGCCUGCAUGUGCACAUGGGCAUGGAGGCCAGAGGUCCCAUUGGGUGCUUUGGUGCACCUUGCAUUUGAGACAGGCUUUCUCAGUGAAUCUGGAGUUCACCCACAUAAGGCUAGGCUGACUGACUAGCAAGCUGCAAGCUGCAGAGAUCUUCCCACCUCUGCCUCCCCAGUGCUGGGAUGGCCAGCACACACCGUGUCUGACUUUUUCACAUGGGUUCUGAGGAUCAAACUCGGAUAUCUGUGCUUGUCAGGCACCUUUGCAACCGAGCCAUCCCGCCCUUGGCAUGCUGCUGCCAUGCUAGACGCUUUUGGUGACCAGUCCAUAGUCACUGCUUUUCCACCCUGCACUGCCGGCUCAUUCUGUGGCAUUGAUCCUGGGUGAGGAAUGAGAUCUUUGGUAAACAAAUCAAAAGAGAUAGGGAUGUUGGGGGCUGGAGAGAUGGCUCAGUGGUUAAGAGCACUGACUGCUCUUCCAGAGGUUCUGAGUUCAAUUCCCACCAACCACAUGGUGGCUCAUAACCAUCUGUAAUGGGAUCUGAUGCCCAUCUGAAGACAGC
ensembl:lncRNA